GGGAGUAGCCUCGAGGAGCCCAUCCCUUCGGCAGGUGGUGGGGGCCCGGAUCUGGGUCUACGCCGCCCCACCUCCCUCCUGGCCACACCGCUGCGGAGAAGGUGCCGCACCUGCGCGACCGCUGCAUGGCCGGUCUAGAGCCCACCGCGGCGGAGCGUCAGCCCUCCUGAGUGGCGGUUCCUGCGGGCGGGACGCCUGGGUUGCCAUGGAGACCGAGAGCCCAGCCCCGCGGAGCCCCAGGACCGUAAAGGCUGUGACAGCUGUCAAAGAGGCCAUAGCCCAACCGAGGGCUAUCAGAGAGGACUUCCUGGAAGAGGCAACACAAACGCUGAA
rnacentral:lncRNA from 1 species